rnacentral:lncRNA from 12 species
GGUGGAUUAGUGAAUGAUUGAUUCCUCCUCUGGAAUGUCACAUCUAUUUGCUCUUUUUCCAGUGGCAUUCUGAUAUGCAGGUGGAGCCCAUCUUCUGUCCCUGCUAGAACUGAGAUGUCCUAGGAAGGUGACUUGAGCCCAGAAAAUGUCCUCUACACCUACAUAGAAAGGCAUCCAGAGGAAGGAAUGGCCAUUAUUUAGGUCACGACUUUCUUGUGACAGAGGAAGGAGAACAAGAGGAUUGGUGGCUUCUUGGACUGGCAAAGGAAUAAAAAUUGUUUAGCUACCAGAAACUAAGUUACAUUUUCCAACUCCACCAGCUGAGAAAAAUGUUCCACAAUUAAAAUCUACAGAACUUGAGUAAGAUUGCUAUGGAAACCAGAGAAGACAAAACACAGCCUUACAGAGAGGUAAGGAUGAAGAGUUUCCCUAAAAGGAAAAAGCUGAAUUUCAGAAUAUAUUCUGGAAAGAUAUCCUGGAGAGAUAUUCGCCUGGGAAAGGCUAAUAAAGCUAACCUUGGACUAAGAGGGGAUGAGAGAGAGCUGAUUUCCUUCCCAGUGAAUCACUUGCCAAAUGGAGUGAUCCUGAGUCACAUCUGA